GUUUACAUAGUUUAAUACAAAACAUUAGUUUGUGGAACUAAAAAUAUCUUUGAUUAUAAACA
rnacentral:tRNA from 1 species